rnacentral:ncRNA from 1 species
NNNNNUAUGGUGGAUGCCUUGGCACUAAGAGCCGAUGAAAGACGUGAUAAGCUGCGAAAAGCUUCGGGGAGGAGCAAAUAUCCGAUGAUCCGGAGAUGUCUGAAUGGGGAAACCCACGCAGGAAAACCCUGCGUAUCCCUGCAUGAACACAUAGUGCAGGGAGGGGAACCCGGUGAACUGAAACAUCUAAGUAGCCGGAGGAAGAGAAAACAACCGUGAUUCCGGGAGUAGCGGCGAGCGAAACCGGAAGAGCCCAAACCAUGGCGCGAGCGCCGUGGGGUUCGGACCGCACAAAACCACUGCAGAAGUUAGCAGAAUGGCCCUGGGAAGACCAGCCGGAGAGGGUGAAAGCCCCGUAAGCGAAAACGGAAGCAGGGAGGCGGGAUCCAGAGUAGGUCGAGACACGUGGAACCUUGACUGAAGGAGCGGGGACCACCCCGCAAGGCUAAAUACUACUUAGUGACCGAUAGCGCAUAGUACUGUGAAGGAAAGGUGAAAAGGACCCCGGGAGGGGAGUGAAAGAGAACCUGAAACCAUAUGUUUACAAGCUGUGGAACACUGAUGCCCGCAAGGGGACGGUGAACCGCGUACUUUUUGUAGAACGGUCCGGCGAGUUGCGCCGGCUGGCGAGGUUAAGCGCUGAGGGCGCGGAGCCGAAGGGAAACCAAGUUUUAACUGAGCGUCCAGUCAGCCGGAGCAGACCCGAAACCGGGUGAUCUAUCCAUGUCCAGGAUGAAGUUGCCGUAAAAGGCAAUGGAGGUCCGAACCCACAUCCGUUGAAAAGGGUGGGGAUGAGGUGUGGAUAGGGGAGAAAUUCCAAUCGAACCCGGAGAUAGCUGGUUCUCCUCGAAAUAGCUUUAGGGCUAGCCUCAUACAAGUCUUGCGGAGGUAGAGCACUGAAUUUCCUAGGGGGCGUCAAAGCUUACCGAAGAAUAUCAAACUCCGAAUGCCGCGUAGAUGGUGUAUGGGAGUCAGACUGCACGAGAUAAGUUGGGCAGUCGAAAGGGAAAGAGCCCAGACCUGCAGCUAAGGUCCCAAAAUGUGUGUUAAGUGGAAAAGGAUGUGGGAUUUCAAAGACAACCAGGAUGUUGGCUCAGAAGCAGCCAUACAUUCAAAGAGUGCGUAAUAGCUCACUGGUCGAGAGGUCCUGCGCCGAAAAUGUCCGGGGCUGAAACACACUGCCGAAGCUCGGGAAUGACGAAAGUCAUUGGUAGAGGAGCAUUGAAUACCAUGAGGAAGCGGUACCGGCAAGGAGCCGUGGAGGGUAUUGAAGAGAGAAUGCCGGAAUGAGUAGCGAGAGGAAGGUGGGAAUCCUUCC